rnacentral:ncRNA from 3 species
UAUGCCGUGAGGCACGGAGUGAAGGAAGCGAGCCUGCAAAACCUGGUUCCAACGAACAGGAACUGGAUACAGAGGCUGUACAAGUCGGAUGAGGUACCACACCAUACUGACGUCCAAAGGAUGGCUUGCCAUUUUGGUACUUGUGCAGUAGAUCCAGUGGAUAUUGGGUGAAGGAAUAUGCC